CAUACAGUCAGCCAUAUGGGAUCCAGCCUCCUUAACCACUGUACCAUGGGCUGCCCUAGCUGGAUCCUUGUCAUUUAGUCUCAGCUUAAAUGUCACCUCCUUAGAGAAGGCCACUGCUGUAGACACUGUUGUGGUAUGCCCCAUCCUCUCCAGGACCAAGGGAUAAACUUGUGGCAGGCGCACGGCCCUGGCUGUCAACGGUCCUCAGGAACUGGGCUGGCUUAUGUUCAGGUGUCCAGAAAUCUGGCUCCCCUACCUUCAAUCAAGACAGCUCCUGGGCUGUUCCAGCUCCUGGAGUGGUGCAGGCACCCAGCUGGCCCCCUGCCCAGUGCUGUGUCUUUGUUUCCCUCUCAGGUCUUGAUUCAGGGGCAUACCCAUGACAUCCCUUCAAAUCAUUACCCCAUCCCACUAUCACAUGUUUUAAUUCUCUGCAUGGCUUUUUAUCUUUAAUGCUUUCAUUCAUUUUUGUUUUCUGCUUCCUGUCAUUAGGAUGUAAGUCCGUGAGGAGCCAGAACCUGCUGCUUACCUGUCUCUGUAGUGCCUGCACUAGAACCUGGCACUCAACACAAGCAAGGACAUGGCUCGUGUGACCACAUCCUCUGUGGUCCUUCUUUCAGGGCUAAAGGAACCAAAUGGGUCUGAUAUCCAAGAAACAGAACAAACAUCCAGAAUCAUUUGGAACGAUCACCUCUACCACCAAACCUUUGUACCAAAUGACAAACUGCUGGGCGGGUUAUCCUGCAGUUCAGGGGCCAGAUAAAGGGGAAUUCUUGUGGCAAACUGAAAGGCUGUAGAUGAGGACAAAUUAAAAUUCAGGCAGUGGUAGAAUGUGGGGAAAGAGAAAAAGAAUACAACCAACUAUGGCCUCAGUUACUGCACCUUGAGACAAAUGACUCCAGCAUGCCCUGCUCUAGAAACAUCUGAGGACCUGACUCUCAGGUGGCAGCCCAAGUUUCCCCUCAUUUUCGGACUCAGAAAUUCAGCCUGGGCACACCACUUGGCUGUCCCUCAUAGACAACAUGUCAAAAGCGAACUCACCGACUAGCCCACAUCCUCUAAUUCCAGCUCUUGGCUGCCACCAGCCUGUCACAAGGGUUGACAUCUUGCAAAGACUCGUUGAUCCCCUUGUGCGUAUAGUGGAUCACCUGGGCCACCUCUGGGGCAAAUCCUUGCCCCCUCUUCAUCCUGCCUCCUUGGACACCAACCAUGUCAACCAUUCCCAAGCUCUGGAAUCCUAUUCCUGCCCAGGAUCCUGAGAGGGUAUGUGAGAAUGACACAUGAAGACAUGUUUAUCCAGUGAUCUGUUCCACCAGAGGUGGGAAAGGACUCCCCUGUCAACCUCCUUGGCCCCUCAGCAACAUUCGAAUCCUGCUAGUUGGACCUCUUAGGAGAUUCUGUUCUCCAUGCUCCUUCCUCAUUCCAACAUCCCUCAUCUCUCUGCUUGUUCUCUUCUGGAUCAUCUUCCUCACAGGUGUCAGGGAUCUUUCUGGAAUGCAAAUGUAACAUGCCACUUCCCUGGUCUUCCUAUGGUGACCCAGAUAAAGUAGCUCUGAGCAAUUUAGCCAUGGCUGGUGGUGGUGAAGGAGAAUGUCCUUUAAGUAUGUAAUCUUGUAACAUUAUACUUUGUGAGGUUAUAAGCAUAUAACCCAGACCCUUAGUGCCAUGAGAUUCUAGGGAACUCUAACAGAAUAACUUGAGAUGUGAGAGAGUGAGGGCACUCAUGGUCUGAACCACUAAGUUAGCAAGGGCCCCACAGGUUAGGGUUUGAAUGCGUACUCCAGAUUUGUGUACUCCAUUUGCUGCAAACUAAAUCCCUGAUGCAAUGGUGCUGAGAGGUGAGACCUGCACGAGGUGAUUAGGUCAUGGGGGCACCACCCGCCCGAGUGGAUUAAGGCCAAUAUAGAGGAGUGAAUUGGUUGUACAAGGUUGAACUUGGCCCCUUUCUCAUCCUUCUGCCUUCCGCUAUGGGAUGAUGAAGCACAAAGGCCUCUCCAGAUGUGGGCCCCUUGGUUUUAGACUUCUCAAUGUCCAGAACUGUAAGAAAUAAAUCUUCAUUCUUUAAAAAUUA